rnacentral:rRNA from 1 species
UGACUCCUUGAGGGUCCUGAAGGAACGUUGAAGACGACGACGUUGAUAGGCCAGGUGUGUAAGCGCAGCGAUGCGUUGAGCUAACCGGUACUAAUGAACCGUGAGGCUUAACCUUACAACGCCGAAG